CAAUAUGAAGGUCAGGCUGAAGACCUUACCCGAUUAGCUGAGAGGUGGUGCAUGGCCGUCGUCAGUUCGUACUGUGAAGCAUCCUGUUAAGUCAGGCAACGAGCGAGACCCACGUCCACAGUUGCCAGCAUACCCUCCGGGGUGAUGGGUACACUGUGGAGACCGCCGCUGCUAAAGCGGAGGAAGGAGUGGGCAACGGUAGGUCAGUAUGCCCCGAAUCUCCCGGGCUACACGCGGGCUACAAUGGUUGGUACAAUGGGCAUCUACCCCGAAAGGGGAAGGAAAUCUCUUAAAGCCAAUCGUAGUUCGGAUUGAAGGCUGCAACUCGCCCUCAUGAAGCUGGAAUCCGUAGUAAUCGCGUUUCAACAGAACGCGGUGAAUACGUCCCUGCUCCUU
rnacentral:rRNA from 1 species